CGAUAGCAAGGAAUGGAACCAUUCGAAAUACCGUUCAGCAUGGACAGCCACGCGUCGAAACGUGUUCCAGAAUUUGAGUCAUCUAGCCAAGACUGCAACCCUUGGGAGAUGAUGUAUUGAAAGCUUUUCGGUUGAGAUAUUGAAUUGAACUCGAAAUACCGCUAUCAAGGACACGAACCAUUCGAAGUAUAUCCAAAAGUAUUCGACAUUCGGAAACGACAUUCAACAUGCAUUCAACAUUUCGAAAUCGUCUAGCCAGCACCACAAGCCUUGGUUCAAAAAUUCGAUUGAAUACAACUGUGGCGGAAUGAAAUGUUUGAACUGUCAAGAACGUGGAAUAUAAACACCAAAACAAUGGCCUGUGGUUAUGUAAAUCGAAAACAUAUUGAAAGUUCCACAGCGAUGAUGAUUUUUCCAGCCAAUUUUCUGAGAAAAUUAUGUGGAUAAAAAAAGUAUAUUUUCUGGUCCCCAAAAACUGUGCUAAAAACAUCACCAGAAACCUGCGAGAAAUGCACGAAAAUCUAUCAUUUGGAUCUGCGACUAAAUGGAAUCUGCGGGUAAACGGAAUCUGCGGCUGUCCAUCUUUUAAUUAGAGCGCCUUGUCCAGCUGUAAGUAUUCUUUGA